UACGUAGGGACCAAGCGUUGUCCGGAAUCAUUGGGCGUAAAGAGCGUGUAGGCGGCUUGUUAAGUCUUGCGUGAAAUCUCGGGGCUCAACCCCGAGCGGUCGUGAGAAACUGGCAGGCUAGAGUGCGGGAGAGGAGAGUGGAAUUCCUGGUGUAGCGGUGAAAUGGGCAGAUAUCAGGAAGAACACCCGUGGCGAAGGCGGCUCUCUGGAACGCAACUGACGCUGAGACGCGAAAGCGUGGGGAGCAAACAGG
rnacentral:rRNA from 1 species